rnacentral:rRNA from 1 species
CACGUAGGGUGCGAGCGUUAAUCGGAAUUACUGGGCGUAAAGUGUGCGCAGGCGGCGUUGCAAGUCGAGUGUGAAAGCCCCGGGCUUAACUUGGGAAUUGCGCUCGAAACUACGUGGCUGGAGUGUGGCAGCGGAAGGUGGAAUUCCAGGUGUAGCGGUGAAAUGCGUAGAGAUCUGGAGGAACACCGAUGGCGAAGGCAGCCUUCUGGGCCAACACUGACGCUCAUGCACGAAAGCGUGGGGAGCAAACAGG